rnacentral:rRNA from 1 species
UACCGGCGCCACUAGUAGGGAUCAUGGUUAUUGGGCCUAAAGCGUUCGUAGCAGGUUCUGUAAAUCUCUUGUGAAAUCGUCGGGCUUAACCUGACGGCGUGCAGGAGACACUGUAGAACUAGAGACCGGGAGGGGUAAGGGGUAUUCCUUGGGGAGCGGUAAAAUGCUAUAAUCCUUGGAAGACCACCUGUGGCGAAGGCGCCUUACCAGAACGGGUCUGACUGUGAGGGACGAAAGCCAGGGGA